rnacentral:lncRNA from 1 species
GGGUGAUUGAUUGUGACAGAAAUACCUUGUGUGAGAAUUUGAGCCACUUGACAUUCUUUCUUAUGUGUGAUAUGUCUCUUGAUUGCUUGCACUUAUGCCUUGGCUUGACUCUUGUUGAUGAUUCUUGAUUGAUAUGCAUGUUUGGAAGUGAUAAAGGCAAUUUUGUUGUUGAGCUUCUCUAGCCAAAUGAGCCUACCUUGUUGUGAUCCUUUGAUAGCCCCCUUUGAGCCUAUAUUUUCCCCAUUUCUUUGUUUUGAAGCUCAUACACUAGCCCUAACUGAAAAACCAUGAUUACCUUAACCUUAGGGAAUUUUGGAGCUUUGGAAUUGUUUUGGGAAUAAGUGUGGUCUCUUGGGAGAUUAAGAUGAAUUGGCUAGUUGGUUCCUCUUCUUAUUUGUUUUGUAAAUAUAUGCGUAUCUUGUCUCUUGGAGUUUUGUCUAAAAAGAGAGAAAAGAAAAUAGACAAGAUGAGAAAAUAAAAAAAAAUACAAAAAAAAAUGAAAAAAAAUUUAAAAAAAAAAUUGUGUGAAUAAUGGAGUCAAGAAGAGGAUUGAAUUAUAGGUUUUGGGUGCUAUUUGAAUGUGUUUACACUUGUUCCCCAUUGCUCCUCUAUUUCUUUUGGUUUGCAGCUUCUUAUCCAUAUUUAUCCUCCCUUUUCCUUGGCCCCAUUACAUCCAUAAAAGACCUUUUGAUUUGAACAUGCAUAUGUUUU